GAGUGGCGAACGGGUGAGUAACACGUGGGUAAUCUGCCCUGCACUCUGGGAUAAGCCUUGGAAACGGGGUCUAAUACCGGAUAUCACAACUUCAGGCAUCUGGGGUUGUUGAAAGUUCUGGCGGUGCAGGAUGAACCCGCGGCCUAUCAGCUUGUUGGUGGGGUAAUGGCCUACCAAGGCGACGACGGGUAGCCGGCCUGAGAGGGUGACCGGCCACACUGGGACUGAGACACGGCCCAGACUCCUACGGGAGGCAGCAGUGGGGAAUAUUGCACAAUGGGCGAAAGCCUGAUGCAGCGACGCCGCGUGAGGGAUGACGGCCUUCGGGUUGUAAACCUCUUUCGCCAGGGACGAAGCGCAAGUGACGGUACCUGGAUAAGAAGCACCGGCUAACUACGUGCCAGCAGCCGCGGUAAUACGUAGGGUGCGAGCGUUGUCCGGAAUUAUUGGGCGUAAAGAGCUCGUAGGCGGUUUGUCGCGUCGGCCGUGAAAUCUCCACGCUUAACGUGGAGCGUGCGGUCGAUACGGGCAGACUUGAGUUCGGUAGGGGAGACUGGAAUUNCU
rnacentral:rRNA from 1 species